AAGAAGUCAGGCCGGAUUAAGCCAUAGUACGGUAAAAGCUAUGCUGCCUGUGAGCCCCGUCUAAGGACGUAAAAUGAAGUCAGGCCGAAAGCCACGGCUUGAGCAAACCGUGCUGCCUGUAGCUCCAUCGUGGGGAUGUAAAAACCUGGGAGGCUGCAACCCAUGGAAGCUGUACGCAUGGGGUAGCAGACUAGUGGUUAGAGGAGACCCCUCCCGAAACAUAACGCAGCAGCGGGGCCCAACACCAGGGGAAGCUGUACCCUGGUGGUAAGGACUAGAGGUUAGAGGAGACCCCCCGCAUAACAAUAAACAGCAUAUUGACGCUGGGAG
rnacentral:lncRNA from 1 species